CCCCUAGGCGAAGAUGAGCUUGUGUCCUAUGUUCUCACAGGCCUUGACGCAGACUAUACACCGAUUGUCGCCUCCCUCACCUCUCGACGUGAGCCGGUCACCUACAACGAGCUCCUGUCUCAGAUUCAGAGCUUCGAGA